GGGUUUUGAGUAAAUUGGGGGAAAAGAUCCAAAAUUCAUCCUACGGUGUUAAUAUACUCUCAAGGAGGUUGGCAUUUCGCUGACUUGCUUUCCAGGAAGAAAUUGGAGGAUGUAGUGACAUCAGAGGCUGCUAAUGAUAUUUUAUAUGUAGGAAAUCAGUCAAUGGCAGCUUUUGAGUCAUAUAUGUGGACCAAAUUCAGCCAUUUGGAUUUCAGUUUAUACGAAUGAUGGGCGUCGAAACCAACAAAUAAUAAAUACUUACUCUUAUGAAUUGUAAUAGCGAUGAGUAAGGUCGUAUCCACAGAGACUGGUUAGAUUUAUCUUUAGCAAUAGAUUUAAUAAAUAAUGAAA